rnacentral:pre_miRNA from 1 species
UUUUAUUUGUAGGUCGCGGAAGGUUGCAAUGCGUAUUUUGAAUCGUAUUGCACUUUCCCCGGCCCAUAGAUAUUAU